rnacentral:lncRNA from 1 species
AUGUUUAUGUUUAUGCAUAGCGGGUAGAUAAUUAUUUGCAUGAGAUGUAGAUAAUUAAAUGAAAGAGACCUAAAUUAAAUCUCCUCGAAAAUAUUAAGUCUAGCGGUCUUCCACCGUAGUAGAGCUGCUAAGGUCAUUCCGGCAUUGAUUUGUCUCGGCUGGAUACAGUGGGCAAGUUGCAUCGGGGGACUGGACCUCUCUAUUAGGCAUGAGAUGUUGUAGGGGUAAAGAUGGGGUUGGGCCCAAUAACUGUUAGGUGAGGGACUCAAUGACGGCUUUGCUUCUGCGGUUAUACGGUGGGUCCGACUUAACUAAAGAAUGGGGCCAAUAAUUGUUAGGUGAGGUCUUCAUUACUUAGAGACCGGAUAGCGCUACAACUUGCUUGAGAAGCAUUGUACAAGAGUUGUACACUCAUCGUUUAUUUGUCACCAAUAACUGUUAGGUGAGGUGGUAUGUAAAUUGGUGGGACCGUAGCACCCCACUUGAAACCUAGAGUCGCAAGGUUUCCGUUUCUCUACCAGAGGAGUGUGAGAGAUUCGAGGAAAUAGUGGAGGUAUAUUUAUUUUAAAAGGCUCUAAAAUAAAUAGAGAUCAAGUACAAAAUUCUAAUUAGAAUCUUUACUCUCUGAGGAUUAGAAAUUCAGCUUCUAGACUCUUAACUCAUAUCCUAUAGAACAACCGUUUGACCAAACCCAAUUAUAAAGACUGGCUCAGCAAAUUUCA